rnacentral:piRNA from 1 species
GACCAAUCAAUGCGUUGCAAUUGGGCCUG